rnacentral:rRNA from 1 species
AGAUAACGGCUCAACAAGGCCACGACGCAGAGACGUACCGCAAGGGUAAUCGGCAAAAUAGGGACUGAGACACGGCCCAAACUCCUACGGGCGGCAGCAGUAGGGAAUCUUCGGCAAUGGACGAAAGUCUGCCCGAGCAACGCCGCGUGAGUGAAGAAGGUUUGCGGAUCGUAAAACUCUGUUGUUAGCGAAGAACAAGGAUGAGAGUAACUGUUCAUCCCUUGACGGUAUCUAACCAGACAGCCACAGCUAACUA